ACUCAAAUGAAUUGACGGGGGCCCGCACAAGCGGUGGAGCAUGUGGUUCAAUUCGACGCAACGCGAAGAACCUUACCUGGGCUCGAAGCGCAGUGGAAUCCGGAUGAAAGUUCGGCGCCCCGCAAGGGGCCAUUGCGUAGGUGCUGCAUGGCUGUCGUCAGCUCGUGUCGUGAGAUGUUGGGUUAAGUCCCGCAACGAGCGCAACCCUUAUCCUUAGUUGCCAUCCCGCAAGGGGGCACUCGAAGGAAACUGUCGGUCAAAAGCCGAAGGAAGGUGGGGAUGACGUCAAGUCCUCAUGGCCUUUAUGUCCAGGGCUACACACGUGCUACAAUGGGCGGUACAAAGCGUCGCAAACCCGCGAGGGGAAGCCAAUCGCAAAAAACCGCUCUCAGUUCGGAUUGCAGUCUGCAACUCGGCUGCAUGAAGCUGGAAUCGCUAGUAAUCGCGGAUCAGAACGCCGCGGUGAAUACGUUCCCGGGCCUUGUACACACCGCCCGU
rnacentral:rRNA from 1 species